GACGAACCGAGCGAACGUUAUUCGGAAUCACUGGGCUUAAAGAGCGCGCAGGCGGUCGCUCAAGUCGCGUGUGAAAGCCCCCGGCUCAACUGGGGAGGGUCACGCGAUACUGAUCGACUGGAAGGCAGGAGAGGGUAGUGGAAUUCCCGGUGUAGUGGUGAAAUGCGUAGAUACCGGGAGGAACACCAGUGGCGAAGGCGACUACCUGGCCUGUUCUUGACGCUGAGGCGCGAAAGCUAGGGGAGCAAACGGG
rnacentral:rRNA from 1 species